CACAGCCCCUCCAGUCAGUGCACACCGCGUCUCCAUGAGUGUUCGACUUUGAAAGCAAAUUCGCUAAAGUGCUCCCUGUUAUUCAGAAGCAGGAAGUGAUCCAAAACCAGACGCGACUCAAAUUAGCCAAGGUCACAAAGGCUCAGCUGUCGUAACAUUACCAUUAUACAGAUGUUUGAAACUGGAGUGUCCCUUUGCACGUCUUUGAACAGAACCAGAGCUGGACGGCUCUGUGAGAACAGAGGACGGAAGUGGGUGGCGACUUUACGCCAUUGUUCUGACACUGCUGACCCACUGCAUUUGGGGUUCAUAAGGCUGGGGGAGGCGGAAGAGCCAAAGCUCAUAAAAAAGGCUUCACUUUCAUAAUGGUCACUCACUUUUCCAGCUCAACAGGACUGUUAUCACACUACAUGAGCUCAUAGGGGUGAUAGGCCGAGCGCGACAGACGGAGGAGACCCCAAGAGGGCCGCAGAUCAUUGCUGAAGUGAUAAGAGCGAGCUUGGGUGUUGCUUAAAGUGUAAAUCCUCAGAGUCCUUCUAAUGCUCUGUUUAAGGCGGAGCUGUUUUGUCACAUCAAGGAUGUGUCAUGAACAGAACAGGGAGGAAAACAGUGCUCUCAGAGCUGAAGUCAAUGUCACAUCAAUGCCAAAGACUCGACAAUUAAGUGAGAGAUGUACUUGACUUGAAGGCUUUCACUUUGUGACCUAGGUGUGCUGUCCAACUCUCUGAUCUCUGUUGAGUCCUUGUUUAAGCCUGCCCUAGAGGUCAAUAGUAAUGUACUUUACAUUGAUCAGACUAACAAAUGGGGAUGUUCGUUUAACACCUCUGGCCAUUGUGCCACAUCCCCUGCUAUUUGAAAACAUUUAUACAGCCCUGAAUGGUGUCCUCCCCAACCCCGAGAGUAGCUAAGCUAAGCGAAGCGAAAAUAAAAUUAAAUAAAUAAAUAAAAUGAAGAAAGAAAGAAAGAAAGAAAGAAA